AUUACUCGUAACUUUCUCUUUUUUUUGGAAAUUUCGGUGUUUACAGAAAUGUCCUCCACGAAGCAUUUAGAAAAUAAUAAGAAGCGAGGACAUUUCUCAGAUUACUCUAGUUUAUACUUCUGCUUGUAAAGAUAAAUAACUUUAAUGUUAUAACAUCAAAUUACCCCCAACAGUUAUUUAGCUCUCAGUAGUAUAGAUUAUGUACGAGUAUCUGUAAAAUUUGAACAUUUUAUUUACACGUUGGGCCUAAUUCAAUCCUAAUGUCUCAAAGUUCAACUCCGUGAUUCCAAACGUAUUUCAUAUAUUCAUACCAUUACCAACUAUAUUUGCCUGAAUUAACAGAGACCACAGUGUCUUAGCUCUUCUGAAGAUGAUGUUACCAAGUUUCUUGCCUGCAGUACCCAUACUGUGACCACCAAUCAAGAUUAUUGGAUGUAGCAGUACCCUAAAAUUGUUUGUCAGUUUAAAUUAACAAUACCAUAUACCACACUAUAUGUAGGAAAUUUAAUUUCAGCAUUUAUUUUGUAAACAUUAUGAGACUUCUCUAAGUGUGUUAUGUAAUUUCUGAAAUCUUGAAAAGGAAAUAAAGUGGUUGAACUUAA